rnacentral:rRNA from 1 species
UGAGGAAUAUUGGUCAAUGGACGAGAGUCUGAACCAGCCAAGUAGCGUGCAGGAUGACGGCCCUAUGGGUUGUAAACUGCUUUUGUUUGGGAAUAAUCGACAUUACGUGUAAUGUUUUGCAUGAACCAUUCGAAUAAGGACCGGCUAAUUCCGUGCCAGCAGCCGCGGUAAUACGGAAGGUCCAGGCGUUAUCCGGAUUUAUUGGGUUUAAAGGGAGUGUAGGCGGUUGGUUAAGCGUGUUGUGAAAUGUAGAUGCUCAACAUCUGACUUGCAGCGCGAACUGGCUGACUUGAGUACACACAACGUAGGCGGAAUUCAUGGUGUAGCGGUGAAAUGCUUAGAUAUCAUGAAGAACUCCGAUUGCGAAGGCAGCUUACGGGAGUGUUACUGACGCUUAAGCUCGAAGGUGCGGGUAUCGAACAGG